AUUGAACGCUGGCGGCAGGCUUAACACAUGCAAGUCGAGCGGAGUGAUGGUGCUUGCACUAUCACUUAGCGGCGGACGGGUGAGUAAUGCUUAGGAAUCUGCCUAUUAGUGGGGGACAACAUCUCGAAAGGGAUGCUAAUACCGCAUACGUCCUACGGGAGAAAGCAGGGGAUCACUUGUGACCUUGCGCUAAUAGAUGAGCCUAAGUCGGAUUAGCUAGUUGGUGGGGUAAAGGCCUACCAAGGCGACGAUCUGUAGCGGGUCUGAGAGGAUGAUCCGCCACACUGGGACUGAGACACGGCCCAGACUCCUACGGGAGGCAGCAGUGGGGAAUAUUGGACAAUGGGGGGAACCCUGAUCCAGCCAUGCCGCGUGUGUGAAGAAGGCCUUAUGGUUGUAAAGCACUUUAAGCGAGGAGGAGGCUCUUAUGGUUAAUACCCAAGACGAGUGGACGUUACUCGCAGAAUAAGCACCGGCUAACUCUGUGCCAGCCGCCGCCGUAACAC
rnacentral:rRNA from 1 species